CGGGGUGUAGCGCAGCUUGGUUAGCGCGCAUGCUUUGGGAGCAUGAGGUCGCGGGUUCGAGUCCCGCCACCCCGA
rnacentral:tRNA from 1 species